rnacentral:rRNA from 1 species
UACGUAGGGGGCAAGCGUUGUCCGGAUUUAUUGGGCGUAAAGAGCGUGUAGGCGGCCAGGUAGGUCCGCUGUGAAAACUCGAGGCUCAACCUCGAGACGCCGAUGGAAACCAUCUGACUAGAGUCCGGAAGAGGAGAGUGGAAUUCCUGGUGUAGCGGUGAAAUGCGCAGAUAUCAGGAAGAACACCCGUGGCUAAGGCGGCUCUCUAGUACGGUACUGACGCUGAGACGCGAAAGCGUGGGGAGCGAACAGG